rnacentral:rRNA from 1 species
AACGAACGCUGGCGGCAGGCUUAACACAUGCAAGUCGAGCGCCCCGCAAGGGGAGCGGCAGACGGGUGAGUAACGCGUGGGAAUCUACCCAUCUCUACGGAAUAACGCAUGGAAACGUGUGCUAAUACCGUAUACGUCCUUCGGGAGAAAGAUUUAUCGGAGAUGGAUGAGCCCGCGUUGGAUGAGCUAGUUGGUGGGGUAAAGGCCUACCAAGGCGACGAUCCAUAGCUGGUCUGGGAGGAUGAUCAGCCACACUGGGAAUGAGACACGGCCCAGACUCUUACGGGAGGCAGCAGUGGGGAAUAUUGGACAAUGGGCGCAAGCCUGAUCCAGCCAUGCCGCGUGAGUGAUGAAGGCCCUAGGGUUGUAAAGCUCUUUCACCGGUGAAGAUAAUGACGGUAACCGGAGAAGAAGCCCCGGCUAACUUCGUGCCAGCAGCCGCGGUAAAAC